rnacentral:rRNA from 1 species
GAGUGGCGGACGGGUGAGUAAUGUCUGGGAAACUGCCUGAUGGAGGGGGAUAACUACUGGAAACGGUAGCUAAUACCGCAUAACGUCGCAAGACCAAAGAGGGGGACCUUCGGGCCUCUUGCCAUCGGAUGUGCCCAGAUGGGAUUAGCUAGUAGGUGGGGUAACGGCUCACCUAGGCGACGAUCCCUAGCUGGUCUGAGAGGAUGACCAGCCACACUGGAACUGAGACACGGUCCAGACUCCUACGGGAGGCAGCAGUGGGGAAUAUUGCACAAUGGGCGCAAGCCUGAUGCAGCCAUGCCGCGUGUAUGAAGAAGGCCUUCGGGUUGUAAAGUACUUUCAGCGGGGAGGAAGGCGAUAAGGUUAAUAACCUUGUCGAUUGACGUUACCCGCAGAAGAAGCACCGGCUAACUCCGUGCCAGCAGCCGCGGUAAUACGGAGGGUGCAAGCGUUAAUCGGAAUUACUGGGCGUAAAGCGCACGCAGGCGGUCUGUCAAGUCGGAUGUGAAAUCCCCGGGCUCAACCUGGGAACUGCAUUCGAAACUGGCAGGCUAGAGUCUUGUAGAGGGGGGUAGAAUUCCAGGUGUAGCGGUGAAAUGCGUAGAGAUCUGGAGGAAUACCGGUGGCGAAGGCGGCCCCCUGGACAAAGACUGACGCUCAGGUGCGAAAGCGUGGGGAGCAAACAGGAUUA